UACGUAGGGGGCAAGCGUUGUCCGGAAUUAUUGGGCGUAAAGAGCGCGUAGGCGGUCCGAUAAGUCGGCUGUGAAAGUCUAGGGCUCAACCCUGGAAAGCCGGCCGAUACUGUCGGACUAGAGUCCGGUAGAGGCGAGUGGAAUUCCCGGUGUAGUGGUGAAAUGCGUAGAGAUCGGGAGGAACACCUGUGGCGAAGGCGGCUCGCUGGGCCGGUCCUGACGCUGAGACGCGAAGGCGUGGGGAGCGAACGGG
rnacentral:rRNA from 1 species